UGGGGAAUUUUGGACAAUGGGGGCAACCCUGAUCCAGCAAUGCCGCGUGUGUGAAGAAGGCCUUCGGGUUGUAAAGCACUUUUGUCCGGGAAGAAAUCCCCUGCCCUAAUACGGCGGGGGGAUGACGGUACCGGAAGAAUAAGCACCGGCUAACUACGUGCCAGCAGCCGCGGUAAUACGUAGGGUGCGAGCGUUAAUCGGAAUUACUGGGCGUAAAGCGUGCGCAGGCGGUGAUGUAAGACCGAUGUGAAAUCCCCGGGCUCAACCUGGGAACUGCAUUGGUGACUGCAUUGCUCGAGUAUGGCAGAGGGGGGUGGAAUUCCACGUGUAGCAGUGAAAUGCGUAGAGAUGUGGAGGAACACCGAUGGCGAAGGCAGCCCCCUGGGCCAAUACUGACGCUCAUGCACGAAAGCGUGGGGAGCAAACAGGAUUAGAUACCCUGGUAGUCCACGCCCUAAACGAUGUCAACUGGUUGUCGGGCCUUCAUUGGCUUGGUAACGUAGCUAACGCGUGAAGUUGACCGCCUGGGGAGUACGGUCGCAAGAUUAAAACUCAAUGAAUUGACGGGGUCAUAGCUGUUUCCU
rnacentral:rRNA from 1 species